GACGAACGCUGGCGGCGUGCUUAACACAUGCAAGUCGAACGGAAAGGCCCUGCUUUUGUGGGGUUCUCGAGUGGCGAACGGGUGAGUAACACGUGAGUAACCUGCCCUUGACUUUGGGGUAACUUCAGGAAACUGGGGCUAAUACCGGAUAGGAGCUCCUGCUGCAGGGUGGGGGUUGGAACGUUUCGGCGGUUGGGGAUGGACUCGCAGCUUAUCAGCUUGUUGGUGGGGUAGUGGCUUACCAAGGCUUUGACGGGUAGCCGGCCUGAGAGGGUGACCGGCCACAUUGGGACUGAGAUACGGACCAGACUCCAACGGGAGGCAGCAGUGGGGAAUAUUGCACAAUGGGCGGAAGCCUGAUGCAGAAACGCCGCGUGCGGGAUGACGGCCUUCGGGUUGUAAACAGCUUUCGCCUGUGACGAAGCGUGAGUGACGGUACUGGGUAAAGAAGCACCGGCUAACUACGUG
rnacentral:rRNA from 1 species